UGUCUAUUCUGCGUGAUUAGGGAAAUGAGGUUAAGUAUAUAUCUUAUUUCUACGGACAGGUGUAAGAUCGAUUUUAUCGAAUAAAAUUCUAGAUAGGAUACUGAUUAUGACAAUUUUCUAUCUAUAUGUCUUGACCAAAAUACGUGCCAGCAGUCGCGGCAAUACGUAGAAGACUAGUGUUAUUCAUCUUUAAUAGGUUUAAAGGGUACCUAGACGGUUUAAUUAGUCUUAAAUAAGAAACGAUUAGACUAGAGUUAUAUAUGAGGAGGGGAGUAUUUAUGGAGUAGAGUUGAAAUUCAGUAAUACCAUGAAGACUGAUAACGGCGAAAGCAACCUUUUAUCUAAUAACUGACGUUGAGGGACGAAGGCUCGGGUAGCGAACAGGAUUAGAUACCCUAGUAGUCCAAGCAGAAAAUUAUGAAUGCCAUAGAUUAGAUUCACUAUCUUUUUAUACUUUUAGCUAUAUUGAGAUAUCUUUUGCUUUUUUGGCUUUUUCUACUACGUAGAAAAAAGCCUGAAAAAAAAAGAUACUUUUUUCUUGCAGUGGCCAUAUCAUGCUUCUUGCGAAGCAUAAGUAAGCCAAAGCUUGAAAAAAAGGGGUGUUUUAUAUUUAGUCUAUAAAUGAAAGUGUAAGCAUUUCACCUCAAGAGUAAUGUGGCAACACAGGAACUGAAAUCAUUAGACCGUUUCUGAAACCAGUAGUGAAGUAUGUUAUUUAAUUCGUAGUUACGCGAAAAACCUUACCACAAUUUGAAUAUUAUCUUAAUACUAACAUUGUUAGUAGAAAGAUAUUACAAGCGUUGCACGGCUGUCUGCA
rnacentral:rRNA from 1 species